rnacentral:rRNA from 1 species
UACGUAGGGGGCAAGCGUUAUCCGGAUUUACUGGGUGUAAAGGGAGCGUAGACGGCGCGGCAAGUCUGAAGUGAAAGGCAGGGGCUUAACCCCUGAACUGCUUUGGAAACUGGCAGUCUUGAGUACAGUAGAGGUGGGCGGAAUUCGUGGUGUAGCGGUGAAAUGCUUAGAUAUCACGAAGAACUCCGAUUGCGAAGGCAGCUCACUGGACUGCAACUGACACUGAGGCUCGAAAGUGUGGGUAUCAAACAGG